GCUAGUCGCACGAGUUGAGACUCGUGGCAGAUAGCUCAGUAACACGUGGCCAAACUACCCUACAGACUGCGAUAACCUCGGGAAACUGAGGCUAAUCGUGGAUACGACUCUCAGACUGGAGUGUCGAGAGCCAGAAACGUUCCGGCGCUGUAGGAUGUGGCUGCGGCCGAUUAGGUAGACGGUGGGGUAACGGCCCACCGUGCCAAUAAUCGGUACGGGUUGUGAGAGCAAGAGCCCGGAGACGGUAUCUGAGACAAGAUACCGGGCCCUACGGGGCGCAGCAGGCGCGAAACCUUUACACUGCACGACAGUGCGAUAGGGGGACUCCGAGUGCGAGGGCAUAUAGUCCUCGCUUUUCUGAACCGUAAGGUGGUUCAGGAACAAGUGCUGGGCAAGACCGGUGCCAGCCGCCGCGGUAAUACCGGCAGCACGAGUGAUGGCCGAUAUUAUUGGGCCUAAAGCGUCCGUAGCUUGCUGUGUAAGUCCAUUGGGAAAUCCACGCGCUCAACGCGUGGGCGUCCGGUGGAAACUACACGGCUUGGGGCCG
rnacentral:rRNA from 1 species